rnacentral:sRNA from 1 species
UUCCCCAUCAAUGAAAAUUUAGCCGGACAUUUCUCUCUUCAGGCGAACCACAAGCGAAGCAAAGACGUCACGGAAAGUUAUGACCAUUUGCCACCGGGAGCACGUUGGAGGACAAAUAAAUUAUUAUGAAGCUGUGGAUGCUAUAACUUAGGUGGAACUUGGCGAGUCUAUGUCUGACUGGGCCAUUUGCUCGGGCGAAGGAAGAACGACGUGGAACGGACUCACUCAGUGAUUAAGUGGGCGUGGGCUGCGUCUUCGCUGUUGGACCCCGGUUUUGGUGGCUUUUCUUGCCAGUGGCCGUUUCGUCGUCGUGGGGGCCUCGUCUGUGGGUGGUCGUCUCGCCGUCGUGAAAUUGGCGCCAUUGACAAGUGCGCGGAAUUCAAGCACUAUGCGCUGAAAAAUGGGUGAGGUUACUCUAUUAGAGUUUCCUUUUUGUUGGGACCGGCAAUGAAAAACUUCAACUCGCUCUUGAGCACGGCACACCCACCGUUGACCGUUGACAAAGUCGAACUCACCUGUAUACAUUUGGGCAGGAACA